UACGAAGGGUGCAAGCGUUAAUCGGAAUUACUGGGCGUAAAGCGUGCGCAGGCGGUUCGUUGUGUCGGUGGUGAAAGCCCCGGGCUUAACCUGGGAAUGGCCAUGGAAACUGGCGAACUGGAGUGUGGCAGAGGGGGGUGGAAUUCCGCGUGUAGCAGUGAAAUGCGUAGAGAUGCGGAGGAACACCGAUGGCGAAGGCAGCCCCCUGGGCUGACACUGACGCUCAGGCACGAAAGCGUGGGGAGCAAACAGG
rnacentral:rRNA from 1 species